rnacentral:rRNA from 1 species
UACAGAGACUGCAAGCGUUAUUCGGAUUCACUGGGCGUAAAGGGUGCGCAGGCGGCCAAGUGUGUCAGGUGUGAAAUCCCGAGCUUAACCUCGGAACUGCGCCUGAAACUACUUGGCUAGAGUACUGGAGAGGGUAACGGAAUUCACGGUGUAGCAGUGAAAUGCGUAGAUAUCGUGAGGAACACCAGAGGCGAAGGCGGCUCACUGGCUCAUUACUGACGCUCAGGCGCGAUAGCGUGGGGAUCAAACAGG